rnacentral:ribozyme from 2 species
GCCUUAAUGCAGCCAGGGCGUAGCCCUGCCGGUCCCAAGCCCGGAAUGAUGCAGAGGGAGGU